CACCGGCAGCUCAAGUGGUGGCCGUUUUUAUUGGGCCUAAAGCGUUCGUAGCCGGCCGGAUAAGUCUCUUGAGAAAUCUGGCAGCUUAACUGUCAGGCUUUCAGGAGAUACUGUCUGGCUCGAGGCCGGGAGAGGUGAGAGGUACUUCAGGGGUAGGGGUGAAAUCUUGUAAUCCUUGAAGGACCACCAGUGGCGAAGGCGUCUCACCAGAACGGACCUGACGGCAAGGGACGAAAGCUAGGGGCACGAACCGGAUUAGAUACCCGGGUAGUCCUAGCCGUAAACGAUACUCGCUAGGUGUCGGCCACGGUGCGACCGUUGUCGGUGCCGUAGGGAAGCCGUGAAGCGAGCCACCUGGGAAGUACGGCCGCAAGGCUGAAACUUAAAGGAAUUGGCGGGGGAGCACCACAACGGGUGGAGCUUGCGGUUUAAUUGGAUUCAACGCCGGAAAUCUUACCGGGACCGACAGCAAUAUGAAGGCCAGGCUGAAGACUUUGCCGGAUUAGCU
rnacentral:rRNA from 1 species